UACGGAGGAUCCGAGCGUUAUCCGGAUUUAUUGGGUUUAAAGGGAGCGUAGGUGGAUUGUUAAGUCAGUUGUGAAAGUUUGCGGCUCAACCGUAAAAUUGCAGUUGAAACUGGCUGGCUUGAGUUGGGGAAAGGCAGGCGGAAUGCGCGGUGUAGCGGUGAAAUGCAUAGAUAUCGCGCAGAACCCCGAUUGCGAAGGCAGCCUGCCGGCCCCACACUGACGCUGAGGCACGAAAGCGUGGGUAUCGAACAGG
rnacentral:rRNA from 1 species